ACGGAGGGUGCAAGCGUUGUUCGGAAUUACUGGGCGUAAAGGGCGCGCAGGCGGUUUUACAAGUCAGAUGUGAAAGUCCACGGCUUAACCGUGGAAGUGCAUUUGAAACUGUGAGACUUGAGUACCAGAGGGGAAAGUGGAAUUCCCGGUGUAGAGGUGAAAUUCGUAGAUAUCGGGAGGAAUACCGGUGGCGAAGGCGACUUUCUGGCUGAGUACUGACGCUGAGGCGCGAAAGCGUGGGGAGCAAACAG
rnacentral:rRNA from 1 species